rnacentral:lncRNA from 10 species
ACUUAGUGAGCCAGGAAAGGAGUGGACAAGAUCAGAUCCAACAGAAAGCAAAGAUCUGGACCUGUAAAUCUUGUUAGUCUAGCAAGGAAUUUGGAUUUGUUUUAGAAACAAUGGAACGUAUUUGAGUGGCUUUAAGUGACAUAAAUUGAGAUGUAAGCAAGCAUGCACAUGUGCGGAUGUGUGCAUUAAUUUUAUGCUUGAAGAAUCAAAGCUGCACCGAGGAACACUGGUUAAGAAGACAUUGCAAUGAUACAAAUGAUAGACUGAUGGUCCCUGAGCAGAGCUAAUGACGGUAGAGACGGCCAAAAGAAGCUGUGUUUAACAAAGGUCGUCGGGGGAGUGACUAUGCCCCAGAGUCCACCAUGAGAGUGCUGAAGAGCCAAAGACUGACUUUGCAAAUUGAAGUACCCUGGCUCCCUUGUCGUCUGGCUGCUGGUUGGAUUCUGCAAGGAGAAUGACAGAGUUCUGAUUAUAACAAAGGGUCCCACAAUAGGCUGUCUGCAGGCUGAAGAGCAAGGAGAGCCAGUCUGAGUUCCAAAACUGAAGAACUUGGAAUCCGAUGUUCGAAGGCAGGAGGCAUCCAGCAUUCGAGAAAGAUGUAGGAUGGGAGCAUAGGCCAGUCUCUCCUUUCACGUUUUUCUGCCUGCUUUAUAUUUGCUGGCAGCUGAUUAGAUGGUGCCCACCCAGAUUAAGGGUGGGUCUGCCUUUCCCAUCUCAUUGACUCAAAUGUUAAUCUCCUUUGGCAACACCCUCACAGAUGUACCCAGGAUCAAUACUUUGUAUCCUUUAAUCCAAUCAAGUUGACAGUAUUAACCAUCACAGUUGCCUGAGAAUGAGGAUAGAGGGAGGCAUGGAGAAGCAGUGAGAUGCAAAAGGAAACUUUUGCAGGUGAAGGAUCUGUUCACUAUGUUGAUGGUUGUGAUGUUUUCACAGGGCUACCUACAUGAAAACUUAUCAAAAAAUAUAUUUUAAAUAGGUGGAGUUUAUUUUGUCAAUUAUAUCUCAAUUAAAAAUACAAACAAUGAAACUAUAUUUUUCUUUCAAAUCAUCAGCUCCCUUUGAAUGAGUGAUGCUGAAAUGGUCAGAUUGGAAGCUAAUAGUAACUUUGAUGUUCAACGUACUUCCUGUGUUAUUGUUUUUAUUUUUCUCAUGUCAGAAGCUGUGGACUUAUGAGAGCCUGUUCAUAUCAUGUUUGUUUUUUUUUUUUUUGGCAUUUUACUCUGUUGGUUCUGUGAGGAAAUAGAUCAGUAUAAUAUAUUCAAAGUAUUUAGGCUAUUGCUUCAUUUUGGAUGAGAAUCUAUGCCGUAGCAAAUUACACCUCAGGAUACUAUUAGCUUGUCCAAGUUAGAGACUAAGUAGUCUACAUUUUCUUCCUUCAAACUCCUUUAUCCCUGAAGUCUCCCUAAGGUAAUUUUCUUUGCAGUCUCAAUUAAUUUCAAAUUCAGGCCUUUGGCUGACAGCUGGACUCUUCCAGCAGGGCAUCCAGCUUCCAACAGAGCAUUAUUGAAUGUAACUGCUCUGUCGUUUUGAUUGAGGCUGUGACUUCUCAGUAGUAACUUCCCUUCCAAAGGGAGCUUUUACCUCACUGGAUGCAGAGUAGGGAGACACGGGACAGAGUACAGAGGCCUAGGAAGAAAAAGCCACAAUAGAGCUGCCAUGUCCACAGACGAAGGCAUGUGACUCUUCGUCAUCGUCAACAUAGUGCUUAGCAAAGCUGUUUUUAAUUUUAUACACAAACUGGGUAUAUUUAAAAAUAUGUGGCAGACAAUACUCUCAUUUUUUUAAAUUUAUUUGUCAAAAGUACCUUUGAUGUUAAUUUUUUUUUCUUUUUUUAGACACAGUGUCACUCUGUUGCCCAGGCUGGAGGCUAGAGUGCAGUGGAACAAUCUCAGCUCACUGUAACUUCAGCCUCCUGGGCUUAAGGAUCCUUCCACCUCCACCUCCUGAGUAGGUGGGACUCAGGCACACAUCACCUUUUCAGGCCAAUUUUUUGUUUUUGUAUAUAUAUAUUUCUUGUAGUGAUAGGGGGUUCCACUAUGUUUCCCAGGUUGGCCACAAACUUCUAAGCUCAAGUAGUCUGUUUGCCUUGGCCUCCCAAAGUUCUGGGAUUAUUGGCUUGCACCCACUGUGCCAGGUCUGAUGUCAAAUUUAACAGUAAAUAUGUUUCUACUCUUUGGCUUACUAAUUUUAUUGAUACACGUUAUUCUAAUAAAAAAGAAAUUCUUUAAAAGCUGUAAGUACACGGGUUUAAUACAUCAUCACCUAUAUUUGUUCAUACUUAUUACAUAAAAGUCAUUGUUGCCUACAUUGUGCUGGGGACAAUAUUCAGUAUAUUGAAGUGUCCAACAAAAUAUUUUGAAAGAAAAAAUAAAUGAGUGAAGUCUCAUGCCCUUAUUGAUUCUAUGAUGUGUAUUUAUAAUCAGAUAAAUUGCUUUCAUUGCCUUUCUUUGGGUAUUAUUUUACAAUGAUGUACAUAUACUUAAAAAUUAAUUAUAUUUUUAUUCUUUCUACAGUACUUUAUUUACCAAGUGUUUUCCUGAAUGUGAAUCUACUGAAAAAAGAGGUUCAAGUGAUAUUUUACUAAGAAAUGUGUUUAUUUCUUCUGUAUGUACCAUGAUGGCAGGCAAUUAAAUUAUAAAGAAAUUUUAAUUAUGUUUAGUAAGAAUUGAGAUAUGUAGGUUAUUUUAUGCUAUAAUAUUUUUAUCCUCUGCUCAGUCUACCAUGAAAUGUCAAGUAGGUAGACAUUGUAACCCAAGCAUUUUGUCUUUCAAUUUUUAUAAUUAUUUAGACUACAGUUAACUUGAGUGUUCCUGACUUUCUCUGUGCUUAUUGUUCAGAUAGAGAUGAUUAUAAUUUCAUUUGUAUUUAACGGUAAGUCUUCCACUCUCUAGUCUGAACAUAUUGACCUCAAUUAUUCUUACAAGUCAGAUUAGCCUUAUUAGCAUCAAUCAUUAAUAAAACAUAGGAAAAGACUAUAUUCUAAGCAGUUGCCUUCCACGUGGCAACAAUCAGCAGGACUAGUGUGUUUGAAGAGAGAUAUGUGUUUUCUUCUAAUGAUAUUUAAGGUAUGGAUUAUAGGAUUAAGCCCAUCUACCUAACCAACCUGGAUAAAGGACCGGAGAAUGGCAUUCAUCCUCAUCCUGCAGUACAAUUACUCUUUUUAGGACUAAUCAAAGCUGAAAAAUAAGAACUUAAAUCCUGUCCCAUACUCCCAUCUUUGUACCCCAAUAGAAACUCUGCUAUGAAUAACUGAUAAAAACAUCAAAUUGCAUUAGCCAGACUACCACUGUACAGAAGAAAUACCUCCUUUAUCUUUUCCAAACACACAAAUAUGUGGGAUAUUCCUGCUGAAAUUUAAUGACUCAAUUGUAUACAUCAAGUCUAAUGUGAACUUUCUGCAACAAGCACUGUACUAGUCAUAUAUAAGAUGAAAUAUAUCUAAAAUAAUAUCAGCACAUCUCUCUGAAUCUCUUUUAUUGUGAAAGCCAUCACUUUAAAAUAAAGUAAAUAUAUGAGGGAUUUUUUUUCUUUUUUUUAAAUUUUAUUAUUAUUAUACUUUAAGUUUUAGGAUAAAUGUGCACAAUGUGCAGGUUUGUUACAUAUGUAUACAUGUGCCAUGUUGGUGUGCUGCACCCAUUAACUCGUCAUUUAGCAUUAGGUGUAUCUCCUAAUGCUUUCCCUCCCCUCUCCCCCCACCCCACAACAGUCCCCGGUGUGUGAUGUUCCCCUUCCUGUGUCCAUGUGUUCUCAUUGUUCAAUUCCC